UGAGUAACUGCGCUCCUGAGCUGUUGUACCGGUUUUCCAUGGUUUGCUUUAAUCGGCAGGCUGUGGUGGCUGGGUGUGUUUACCUUGGAAUAAAUCAAAAUGCUCAAGAUAGGCGUCUCGCCUGAAUGACAGUGCAUGGGAAUAAUGGAAUAAGACUUCGUUUAUUCUUGUUGGUCUGGGACCGAUGUAAUGGUUAGAGGGACUGACGGGGGCAUUUGUAUCGAUGCGUGAGAGGUGAAAUUCUUGGACCCGCAUCGAGACAAACUACUGCGAAAGCAUUUGCCAAGAAUGUCUUCAUUAAUCAAGAACGAAAGUCAGAGGAUCGAAGGCGAUUAGAUACCGCCCUAGUUCUGACCGUAAACGAUGCCAACUAGCGAUCAGGCGGUGGCUAUUAAACCCUGCCUGGGAGCUUCCCGGAAACGAAAGUCUUCGGGUUCCGGGGGUAGUAUGGUUGCAAAGCUGAAACUUAAAGGAAUUGACGGAAGGGCACCACCAGGAGUGGAGCCGCGGCUUAAUUUGACUCAACACGGGAAAACUCACCCGGCCCGGACACUGUAAUGAUUGACAGAUUGAGAGUUCUUUCUUGAUUCGGUGGUUGGUGGUGCAUGGCCGUUCUUAGUUGGUGGAGUGAUUUGUCUGGUUUAUUCCGAUAACGAACGAGACUCUAACCUGCUAAAUAGUUCUGCAGUAGCUUCGCUGCAGCAACUUCUUAGAGGGAUCAGUGG
rnacentral:rRNA from 1 species